rnacentral:rRNA from 1 species
UACGAAGGGGGCUAGCGUUGCUCGGAAUUACUGGGCGUAAAGGGCGCGUAGGCGGCACUGUUAGUCAGGCGUGAAAUUCCUGGGCUCAACCUGGGGACUGCGCUUGAUACGGCAGAGCUAGAGGAUGGAAGAGGCUCGCGGAAUUCCCAGUGUAGAGGUGAAAUUCGUGGAUAUUGGGAAGAACACCGGUGGCGAAGGCGGCGAGCUGGUCCAUUACUGACGCUGAGGCGCGACAGCGUGGGGAGCAAACAGG